rnacentral:rRNA from 1 species
CGGCGCCCACUCUAUCUCACCUUCUCUUCCCCACUCAUCUACACCUUUUCUUCCCCUAUCCUCGGACCGCCUCUAAUCCGGCAAGCCCCGUGGAUCCCGGUGACUACCGGCGAGGUCCGCGCUAGAUGCGCGGUGGGGGUCACGGGAUGGAGGUAGUUGGCUGUGGAGGCGGGCGGUGGCGGGCGGAGGCCACGGCGGCGGUGACCAAAAGUUGGAUCUGGUCGAAUCUUCCCAUUGUCCUCCCCCGACUGCCUCUAAUCCGACGAGGCCCGCGGAUCCCGGCGACCGCCGACGAGGCCCGCGCUAGAUGCGCAUUUGGGGGGCACGGGAUGGAGGUAGAUGGCUGGUGAGGUGGGGCGGAGGCCGCGGCAGCGGUGAACAACAGUUGAAUCCAACCGACGAUGAGGGAAGGCGCCGCUGCUGCUGGGCUUUGAGCUCCGCCGCGCCCAUUUCGUGCUACACUGGGAAAGGAGGGGGAGCGCGCAGCUGGGGUCCCUGGCGCGGCUCGGCCUCCACGGUGGACGUUGACGCAGGACGGAGCUGUUCGACCCCGAGCGCAAGCACCACGUCGCGUGGCGACUACUCGCGACAACCGGGUGAGCCAGGUCGGCAGCGCGACGGCGACCCCCUUUUUUGACGUUGUGUGGAGGGGAUGAGAAGCAGGCGGCGGUCAUGGCGGGGCGGCAACGGCGCGUGGCCGCUGCUCGGGACGGCCGGCGACAACGCUGCUUCCCUCCCGCACCUCCAUCCCCGCUCGUCACGUGCGGAGCCCUGUGUGCAAAUCCUUCACCCCGCUCAUGCAAAGUUUGUUCAGGCAAGUUUUCUGAACGUAGAUGCAGCCAGUGUUCCCCUAGGAGUAGGCAAUUCAAUUCACAGAUGUUUGCCCUUACGCGGCUCCUUUUUGUCCCUCAUUAGCAUUUGAGUUCACAGAUGCAACUGCAGGGGGCAAGUUCGAACAGAUGCAAGUGUAGCAGAACAUUUUUUUGGAAGAG